UACGUAGGGUCCGAGCGUUGUUCGGAAUUACUGGGCGUAAAGGGCUCGUAGGCGGCCAACUAAGUCCGACGUGAAAUCCCCAGGCUUAACCUGGGAACUGCGUCGGAUACUGGAUGGCUUGAAUUCGGGAGAGGGAUGCAGAAUUCCAGGUGUAGCGGUGAAAUGCGUAGAUAUCUGGAGGAAUACCGGUGGCGAAGGCGGCAUCCUGGACCGACAUUGACGCUGAGGAGCGAAAGCUAGGGGAGCAAACGGG
rnacentral:rRNA from 1 species